UCGAGGAUCUUCGGCAAUGUGCGAAAGCAUGACCGAGCGACGCCGCGUGUGCGACGAAGGCCUUCGGGUUGUAAAGCACUGUCGAGGGUGAGGAAAGCCGAAAGGUCUGACCUAUCCCUGGAGGAAGCACGGGCUAAGUUCGUGCCAGCAGCCGCGGUAAGACGAACCGUGCGAACGUUGUUCGGAAUCACUGGGCAUAAAGGGCGCGUAGGCGGGCCGAUAAGUCAGGGGUGAAAUCCUCCAGCUUAACUGGAGAACUGCCUUUGAUACUGACGGCCUCGAGUAAGGUAGGGGCAUGCGGAACUGAUGGUGGAGCGGUGAAAUGUGUUGAUAUCAUCAGGAACUCCGGUGGCGAAAGCGGCAUGCUGGACCUUUACUGACGCUGAGGCGCGAAAGCUAGGGGAGCAAACGGGAUUAGAUACCCCCGUAGUCCCUGAGCGGGCUGGCAAGGCGCAU
rnacentral:rRNA from 1 species